rnacentral:rRNA from 1 species
GACGAACGCUGGCGGCGUGCUUAACACAUGCAAGUCGAACGGUGAACGAGGGAGCUUGCUCCCUCCGGAUCAGUGGCGAACGGGUGAUUAACACGUGAGCAAUCUGCCCCUAACUCUGGGAUAAUCGUUGGAAACGACGUCUAAUACCGGAUACGACGCGGGAGGGCAUCCUCUCCGCGUGGAAAGAACUUCGGUUCGGGAUGAGCUCGCGGCCUAUCAGCUUGUUGGUGAGGUAACGGCUGACCAAUGCGACAACGGGUAGCCGGCCUGCGAGGGUGACCGGCCACACUGGGACUGAGACACGGCCCAGACUCCUACGGUAGGCAGCGGUGGGGAAUAUUGCACUAUGGGCGCAAGCCUGAUGCAGCAACGCCGCGUGAGGGACGACGGCCUUCGGGUUGUAAACCUCUUUUAGCAGGGAAGAAGCGAAAGUGACGGUACCUGCAGAAAAAGCACCGGCUAACUACGUG